rfam:Myotis lucifugus cont2.8152, whole genome shotgun sequence.
GAGACACCCUUAUGGGGCAGGACUUGCUUCAGUGGGGCUUUGGUGCUCACUGAGUCUGCCUCUUUACUGUGUCACU